rnacentral:rRNA from 1 species
CCUACGGGAGGCAGCAGUAGGGAAUAUUGCUCAAUGGGCGAAAGCCUGAAGCAGCAACGCCGCGUGGAGGAUGAAGGCUUUCGGGUUGUAAACUCCUUUAGUUAGGGAGGAAAAUGACGGUAUCCAACGAAUAAGCACCGGCUAACUCCGUGCCAGCAGCCGCGGUAAUACGGAGGGUGCAAGCGUUAUGCGGAAUCAAUGGGCGUAAAGAGUUCGUAGGCGGUAUGGCAAGUCAGAUGUGAAAGCCGAAGGCUCAACCUGAGAACGGCAAUUGAUACUGUCAAGCUGGAGUGUGGUAGAGGGAGAUGGAAUUCUUGGUGUAGCGGUGAAAUGCGUAGAGAUCAGGAGGAAUACUGGUGGCGAAGGCGACCUACUGG